rnacentral:rRNA from 1 species
UACGUAGGUGGCAAGCGUUGUCCGGAAUUAUUGGGCGUAAAGGGUGCGUAGGCGGCGCGGUAAGUCGGGUGUGAAAUCUUGGAGCUUAACUCCGAAACUGCAUUCGAUACUGCCGUGCUUGAGGACUGGAGAGGAGACUGGAAUUUACGGUGUAGCGGUGAAAUGCGUAGAUAUCGUAAGGAAGACCAGUGGCGAAGGCGGGUCUCUGGACAGUUCCUGACGCUGAGGCACGAAGGUCAGGGGAGCAAACGGG